GACGAACGCUGGCGGCGUGCUUAACACAUGCAAGUCGAACGGAAAGGCCCUGCUUUUGUGGGGUGCUCGAGUGGCGAACGGGUGAGUAACACGGGAGUAACCUGCCCUUUACUUUGGGAUAACUUCAGGAAACUGGGGCUAAUACCGGAUAGGAUCUCCUGCUGCAUGGUGGGGGUUGGAAAGUUUCGGUGGUUGGGUAUGGACUCGCGGCUUAUCAGCUUGUUGGUGGGGUAGUGGCUUACCAAGGCUUUGACGGGUAGCCGGCCUGAGAGGGUGACCGGCCACCUUGGGACUAUGUUACGGCCCAGACUCCUACGGGAGGCAGCAGUGGGAAAUAUUGCACAAUGGGCGGAAGCCUGAUGCAGCAACGCCGCGUGCGGGAUGACGGCCUUCGGGUUGUAAACCGAUUUCGCCUGUGACGAAGCGUGAGUGACGGUAAUGGGUAAAGAAGCACCGGCUAACUACGUG
rnacentral:rRNA from 1 species